CCGGUUAGUACUCAGGUGAUUGUGAACGAGUAGGUGGAGCUGAAGGAGCAGGUGUUGAUGGUAUGCUGCAUGAAUCCAUGAUAGAUAUGUUGAAUAAAGGAAAGGUUAUCUAAUAUUUCCCAUUAAGAGAUUAUAACAUAACAAAUAUUACAUAAUUUGCUUAUAUUCAAUACUAAUAUUGUGUUAAAGUACACCUAUUCAGUGUCAUCGUAUGUUUAAGCCUUUUGCAUGUGUUAUUCAUUUUAGACUAUGUACAGCAUCUACUUUUUCUUAUUUUACUUAGUUAGAGACCUACAGCGAUUGAGAGAGAUUAAGAAAGGGGAAUCAUUGCUCAAGACCUUCACUGUGAUUGACAGCUUGUGUGUGUGUGUGUGUGUGUGUGUGUGUGUGUGUGUGUGUGUGUGUGUGUGUGUGUGUGUUUGUUUCUGUUUGUGUGUGUGUGGAAGCCUUGCACACAGAGGGUCACGGGGAACCUGGAGCCUAUCCCAGGGAGCAUCAGGCACAAGUGUUGCAGGGAGCAUUAUUCUGCUGAAAGAGGCCAGUGCCAUUAGGGAAUACCGUUGCCAUGAAGGGAUGUACUUGGUCUGCAGUAAUAUUUAAGUAGGUGAUACGUAUCAAAGUAACAUCCACAUGAAUGCCGGGACGCAAGGUUUCCCAGCAGAACAUUGCCCAGAGCAUCACACUUCCUUUGCCAGCUUGCCUUCUUCCCAUAGUGCAUCCUGGUGCCAUCUCUUCCCCAGGUAAGCGACGCACACGCACCAGGCCGUCCACAUGAUGUAAAAGAAAACGUGAUUUAUCUGACCAGGCCACCUUCUUCUAUUGCUCCAUGGUCCAGUUCUGAUGCUCACGUGCCCGUUGUAGUCGCUUUCGGUGGUGGACAGGGGUCAACAUGGGGUUUGACUGGUCUGCAGCUACACGUCCCCAUAUGCAAGCAGCAAUGCAUUGUGUGUUCUGACACCUUUCUAUCAUAGCAAGCAUUAACUUUAUCAAUUUGUGCUACAGUAGCUCUUCUGUGGGAUCAGACCAGACGGGCUAACCUCCGCUCCCCACGGGCAUCAGUGAGUCUUGGGUGCCCAUGACCCUGUCGACGAUUCACGGGUUUUCCUUCUGUGGACCACUUUUGGAAGGUACUAACCACUGCAUAUUCGGAACACUCCACAGACCUGCUGUUUCGGAGAUGCUCUGACCCAGUCGUCUAGCCAUCACAAUUUGGCCCUCGCCAAAGUCGCUCAGAUCCUUAUGCUAGUGCAUUUUUCCUGCUUCCAACACAUCAACUUCAAGAACUGACUGUUCACUUACUGUAUAAUAUAUAUCCAACCCCUUGACAGGUGCCAUUGUAUAUAUAUAUAUAUAUACAUAUAUAUACAUAUAUCCAUCCAUGGAUGGAUAUAUAUACUCAUAAAUGAUAAAUGUUAUUUAUUGAAGCAAAAAAGUUAUCCAAUACCAACUGGGCCUGUGUGAAAAUGUAUUUGCCCCCAUAGUUACUAAGUCCCCAGAAAGUUGAAAGAAAUUCCAGAAAUGACGACCAAGAAGGUGGUUUAAAUACAUCAGACUGGGAAGGGUUACAAAGCCAUUUCAAAUGCUCUGGGACUCCAAAGAACUACAGUGAGAGACCAUUAUCUCCAAAUGGAAAAACUCGGCACAGUGGUAAACCUUCAAAAAAGUGGCCAACCAUCCAAAAUUCCCCAAACAGCACAGCAACUAUUCAUCCCGGAAGUCACAAAAGAGCCAAGGACAACAUCAAAAAGGACCUACAGGCCUCUCUUGCAUCAAUAAAGGUCACUGUUCAUGACUCCACUAUCAGAAAGACACUGGGCAAAAAUGGCAUCCAUGGAAG
ensembl:lncRNA